GGAUGAUAGAACUUUCUACAGCAAUGGAAAGUCUAUAUCUUGAUUGGAGUAGGGGUUGCACAGCUGUAUGUAUCUGGGUAGUUUCUAGGACCCCUGUCGAGCCUUGCUUCCAGGACAGAGGCCUGAUGAGUGAACUGUGAGCAGCUGCUCUGCAAUGCUACUAGGUCUUUCCCAUCAAUGACAUCAUGCUUUACCAGCAACAGCUCCUUCGAUGGCUUCCCUCUUCAGAUUCCGAAAAGCACACUUUUGCCUGAAG